rnacentral:rRNA from 1 species
UUUACAAGCAAAUGGAGGAUGCCUUGGAAGCGGGAGGCGAUGAAGGACGUGGGGUGCCUGCGAUAAGCUUCGGGGAGGUGGUUACCAACUUUUGAUCCGGAGAUUUCCGAAUCCGACAACGGGAUGCGACUAAAAACCGCAUCAUCCGCAGCAAUGCGGAAGCAAACCUGGGGAAGUGAAACAUCUCAGUACCCAGAGGAAAAGAAAACAAAUCCUCGCGCUUUGCGCGAGGAAUAUUCCCUUAGUAGCGGCGAGCGAAAAGGGAAGAGCCCAAAAUCCUUAUAUUUUAUAUAAGGGUGGUUGUAGGGUGAAUAUAUUUUUUUACUAUUGUAAAAGACAAAGUUAAUUAAAAUGUAAUUUGGUUAGCCAAAGCAUCCUGGAAAGGAGCGCCAAAGAUGGUGAUAGCCCAGUAGGCAAAAACUAUUGCAUAUUUUGGAUAUUCAUUCCUGAGUACCUUAGGAAACGAAAGCCCUGAGGGAAUCAUCCUGAACUAUCAGGAAAGGCUAAAUACUACCCGCUUACCGAUAGUGAACUAGUACCGUGAGGGAAAGGUGAAAAGCAGCCCAAUGAGGGCGGUGAAAUAGACCUGAAACCAUUUGCUUACAAAGUGUAGGAGGAAUGUAACGCGCAAGCGUGUAUGUUCUGACUGCGUGCUUUUUGCAGAAAGAGCCAACGACUUUGCGUGCAUUGCGAAAUAAUUCCCUCUGGGAAGAAAUUAUAGGGAAACCGAGUGUUAAAAGCGCGAUUGCGCAAUUAAUGAGUGGAUGAGUAUGUUUCUCAUUUACUCAUUAAUUGCACGCGUAGUGCGCGCAAGACCCGAAGCCAAACGAGCUUGCCAUGACCAGGGUGAAUGUUGUUGAAGAGCAACAAGAGGCCCGAACCCGUGAGCUGUGCAAAACUCUGGGAUGAGUUGUGGUAAGAAGCAAAAAACUAAUCGAGUUUGGUAAUAGCUGGUUCUCCUCGAAAUAGUUUUAGGACUAGCCUUGUUAAAAAAAUUUUCUGGGGGUAGAGCACUAGAAGAAUUAUCGUGGGUUCGUCCUAGGUUUUUCUACUAAACUCCGAAUACCAGAAAGUUAUACAAGAGUUAGACUGUGGAAGCUAAGUUCCAUGAUCAAAAGGGAAACAGCCCAGAUCACCAUCUAAGGUCCCUAAAUUUAAACUAAGUGUUUUUACAAGGAAGUGUUUUAGCUUUAACAGGCAGGAAGUUAGCUUAGAAGUAGCUAUCUUUUAAAGAGUGUGUAACAACUCACUGUCCUAUAGCUGAAGCGCGCCGAAGAUAUAAGGGGCUCAAGUUUAAUACCGAAGAUGUGGCUUUCUUCUCGCAAGAGGAGAAGGGGUAGAGGAGCGUCCUUGACGCAGCGAAGCCGGAGGGUAACCAACGGUGGAGUAUCAAGGAGUGAGAAUGUUGGCAUGAGUAAUCGCAAGUCCGAUGAAAUUUCGGACCACCGAAAGCCUAAGGUUUCCUUGGCAAUGAUAAUCAACCAAGGGUUAGGCGGUCUUAACCGAACACCUGAAAAGGUAUAGGGAUAGACAGCCGGUUAAUAUUCCGGCCCCUCAAUCUAUUUUCAAAGAAGUGACGAAGUUUAGUAGCUCGGGCUAAUUAUUGGAUUUUAGUUUUUGUCUUGAGAUUUUUUUAAGGGAUAAGAAAAUAUUUGGUUUCGGCCGAAUAAAUCCGAGUGAGCAAGUUUCCCAGAAAAGCUUCUGAGAGCUAAAUAGAUUGAGUCCGUACCGCAAAACCAACACAGGUAGGCUGGCGUUAGUGUGCCAAGGUGAACGAGUGAAACCUGGUUAAGGAACUAGGCAAAAAAGCGUCCGUAAGUUCGCAAUAAGGGCUGCCCCGCUUUGCGGGGCCGCAGCAAACGAUCCCCUAACGACUGUUUAUCAAAAACACAGGUCUCUGCUAACUCGCAAGAGGAAGUAUAGGGGCUGAAGCCUGACCAGUGCUGGAGUGUCAACUUUGUCGGUCUUUCGUUCGCGCCGCAAGGCGCGAGUGAUUGGCUAAGUGAAUUAAGCCUCCAGUAAACGUCGGCGGUAACUCUGACCGUCCAAAGGUAGCGUAAUCCCUUGCCGUGUAAGUUACGGCCCGCAUGAAUGGCUUAACGAUUGGGGGACUGUCUCAACCAGGUGCUCGAUGAAAAUACAAUUCCCGUGAAGAUGCGGGGUUCCUGCAGCUAGACGGAAAGACCCCGGGAGCUUUACUAUAGGUUUCUAUUGAAUUGCUGUUUUAGAUGCGUAGCGUAGCGGGUAGACUAUGAAGGUCCAAUCUCGGUUGGGCCAGAGUCGCCAAUGAAACACCCGUCUUUUAAAAUAGUAAUUCUAACCCGUUGUAGACGGAGACAGUGGGAGCUGGGUAGUUUAAGUGGGGCGCUUGCCUCCAAAAAAGUAACGGAGGCGUUUAAAGGUCGGCUAAGAACGGAUAGAAAUCGUUCCUGUCCCACAAAGGGAAAAGCCGGCUUUACUGCGAGAUGGACAUAUCAAGCAGUUGGGAAACCAGAACUUAGUGAACCGACCCUAAUUUAUAGAAUUGGGGAAGAUACCGGACAAAAGCUACCCCGGGGAUAACAGCUUGGUAGGGCCCGAGAGUUCUUAUCGACGGCCCUGUUCGAGACCUCGAUGUCGGCUCAUCACAUCCUGGGGCUGAAGAAGGUCCCAAGGGUUUGGCUGUUCGCCAAUUAAAGUGGUACGCGAGCUGGGUUCAAACCGUCAAAUUGGCGGCUUUUCCGAGUAAUCGGAACUGAAAAAGUUGACUCAUAUCGGUGAAAUCCUUUUCAUAUUUGCAAAUUAACCUGUCGUAUGUUAGGAUAAUACCGAGGGAAGUUAAUUAUGUCUAAAAUAAUAUCUACAACAAAAAAAGCAUAUUUAGCAGGCUUUAUUGAUGGAGAUGGAAGUAUUUAUGUAAGAUUGAAACCAAAUUCAACCUACAAAUACGGCUUUCAAAUUUCUCCAUACAUAAUACUUUUUCAAUCAAUUAAAGAAAUUGAAAAGUUUAGAAAAGUUUGCGCUCUUAUAAAUUGCGGAUAUAUGCGCGAAAGAAAUGAUGGUAUAUUGGAAUAUACUAUCAACAGAAGAGAUGAAAUAAUAAAAUUCUUAAAAUUAAUAAAGCCAUAUUUAAUCUUAAAGGAAAAACAAGCUGAUUUAAUGAUAAAAAUAUUAAAUCAGAAAAGUAAAGUUAAAAACAAAAAAGAUUUUAAUAAGUUGGCGGAAUUAAUAGAUGAAUUUAGAAAAUUAAAUUAUUCCAAGAAGCGUAAAAGAUAUAAUUUAACCCCGUAGAGACUUAUCCUUAAAUGGAUAGAGUGUUCCGAUAAUUCGGGAUACUAACACGUCGACCCCCUGACUAUUGGUCAGGGUGAUGGUAUAGUCCAUACACUUAGUAAUAAGUGACAAAAUAUGCGCAAGACAGAUUGGUCCCUUUCUACUGUAGGCGCCGAGUUUUGAGGGGAUUUCGAAGUAGUACGAGAGGACCCUUCGGAGUCAACCUCUGGUGUACCAGUUGUCCUGCCAAGGGCAUCGCUGGGUAGCUAUGUUGGUUCAGGAUAAGCGCUGAAAGCAUAUAAGCGCGAAGCCGACCCCAAGAUUAGAACUCAAAAAGAUCCCUCGGAGAUCACGAGGUUGAUAGGCUCCAGGUGUAAGCGCAGUAAUGCGUUCAGCCGAGGAGUACUAAUUGAUCAAAUUUAUUAAAA